GAUGAACGCUGGCGGCGUGCCUAAUACAUGCAAGUCGAGCGAACGAACGAGAAGCUUGCUUCUCUGAUGUUAGCGGCGGACGGGUGAGUAACACGUGGAUAACCUACCUAUAAGACUGGGAUAACUUCGGGAAACCGGAGCUAAUACCGGAUAAUAUUUUGAACCGCAUGGUUCAAAAGUGAAAGACGGUCUUGCUGUCACUUAUAGAUGGAUCCGCGCUGCAUUAGCUAGUUGGUAAGGUAACGGCUUACCAAGGCAACGAUGCAUAGCCGACCUGAGAGGGUGAUCGGCCACACUGGAACUGAGACACGGUCCAGACUCCUACGGGUGGCAGCAGUAGGGAAUCUUCCGCAAUGGGCGAAAGCCUGACGGAGCAACGCCGCGUGAGUGAUGAAGGUCUUCGGAUCGUAAAACUCUGUUAUUAGGGAAGAACAUAUGUGUAAGUAACUGUGCACAUCUUGACGGUACCUAAUCAGAAAGCCACGGCUAACUACGUG
rnacentral:rRNA from 1 species